rnacentral:rRNA from 1 species
CCCUACGGGAGGCAGCAGUAGGGAAUCUUCCGCAAUGGACGAAAGUCUGACGGAGCAACGCCGCGUGAGCGAAGAAGGUCUUCGGAUCGUAAAGCUCUGUUGUUAGGGAAGAACAAGUAUCGGAGGAAAUGCCGGUACCUUGACGGUACCGACGAGAAGG